CCUACGGGGGGCUGCAGUGGGGAAUAUUGGACAAUGGGCGAAAGCCUGAUCCAGCCAUGCCGCGUGUGUGAAGAAGGCCUUCGGGUUGUAAAGCACUUUCAGUGGGGAAGAAAGCCUUGGGGCUAAUACCCUCGAGGAAGGACAUCACCCACAGAAGAAGCACCGGCUAACUCCGUGCCAGCAGCCGCGGUAAUACGGGGGUGCGAGCGUUAAUCGGAAUUACUGGGCGUAAAGCGCGCGUAGGCGGUCUGAUAAGCCGGUUGUGAAAGCCCCGGGCUCAACCUGGGAACGGCAUCCGGAACUGUCAGGCUAGAGUGCAGGAGAGGAAGGUAGAAUUCCCGGUGUAGCGGUGAAAUGCGUAGAGAUCGGGAGGAAUACCAGUGGCGAAGGCGGCCUUCUGGACUGACACUGACGCUGAGGUGCGAAAGCGUGGGUAGCAAACAGGAUUAGAUACCCCUGUAGUC
rnacentral:rRNA from 1 species